CCCUUAGAUGUUCUGGGCCGCACGCGCGCUACACUGACGAAUGCAACGAGCUUAUAACCUUGGCCGAAAGGUCUGGGUAAUCUCCAAAUUUCGUCGUGAUGGGGAUAGAUUAUUGCAAUUAUUAAUCUUCAACGAGGAAUGCCUAGUAAGCGCAAGUCAUCGGCUUGCGUUGAUUACGUCCCUGCCCUUUGUACACACCGCCCGUCGCUCCUACCGAUUGAAUGGUCCGGUGAAGCGUUCGGACCGUGGCCUUUGGACGGUUCGCCGUCUGUUGGCUGCGGGAAGUUCGUUAAACCUUAUCAUUUAGAGGAAGGAGAAGUCGUANCA
rnacentral:rRNA from 1 species